CGCCGAGCCAGUUUAGAGUGGUCUCCAGGCCCUAGUGGGAAGGGGCUCCGCGCUUCUGGGCGUCCACAGGAGCUGCAUGGCCCUGCCCGCUGACGCCCGGUCGGGACGCUCCACACCCUGUGUGGGGGCGGAGGGGACGCGGUGGGUGCGGCCUGGGCGCGGGUGGGCUAGAGCCUGGAGACCGCCGGGAGCCCGACUUCCUGGCGCUUUGCCCUUUGGGGAGCGGAGCCAAGGAACAGCGCCAACCUCUCUCCACAAGCCAGGGACCCUACGACCCACCGCCGCAGGCCAGAACCAGCAGCUGAUUUAGAUACCAUCAAGACACCUAAAACCUUAUCAUGAGCCAGAUGCUGUGGAAGAGAUUCUGGGAGAAUCCUGAGGACCCCCCAGUUGCAGCCAUGUCAAGACUGAUGCUGAGGAGGACCCCAACUGUCACGAGCAACACCCGUCGAACACAGCCACCUACUUGGGGAAAGAUCAAGAAGCUGUCACAGAUGGUGGAAGAAAACCUGAGGAAAGCGGGACAACCAGUCACAAUGAGUAAUUUAAUGAUAGCUAUGAGAGCGGUGAUCACCAUUGCUGUGAGUAUUCCUUCAGCAAGCGCUGACACAGAGAACAAUUAUACUUAUUGGGCAUAUCUAUCAAUCUUGGCUGGCAAUAAUGCCUGGAUGUAAUCACUCUAUGACCCAGUUACACAUGCUUUCUGAUCUCAGUAUUUGCCAUAAUGAAUCUGCUCCUAUAAUUAAGGCAUACCACCCUCAAAAACCUAUUUGUAAACAGAAUUGAACCUGGCCAGAAAAAAUGAAUGUACUUGUUUGGGAAGAUUGCAUUGCAGAACAGGCAGAGGUGCUGCGCAAUGAUUCCUAUGGAAUCAUUAUUGAUCGGUCUCCUAAGGGGAUGUUUAGCUUGAAUUGUACCUCUGAGUAUGUGUGCCAUGGCCACACUAUGUUCAGCUGGUCAGAAGAAAACAGUCAGAUGGUAGAAAUGGUAAGAAGUAUGGCAAGAGUUCUUAUUAUCUGGAAACAUGGCGGUAUAGUGGCACCUCAACCUCAAAUGAUAUGACCCGCCGUAGGAGAUUAACAAAAGGAUUUGUGGAAACUAUUAAUGGCUCUUAAUAAGAUCAAAAUUUGGGAACGAAUAAAAAACCAUCUAGAAGGACACUAUACAAACUGGUUUUUGGAUAUUGCAAAGUUAAAAGAACAAAUAUUUAAAGCAUCCCAGGCACAUCUGACCUUAAUACCAGGAACUGGAGUGCUUGAAGGAGCUGCAGACGGAUUAGCAGCCAGUAACCCAUUAAAAUGGAUGAAAACACUUGGAAGCUCUGUGAUUUCAAUGAUGAUUGUGUUAUUAAUCUGUGUUGUUUGUCUUUGUGUAGUCUGCAGAUGCAGAUCCUGACUCCUGCGAGAAGUAGCUCACCGUGAUAAAGCUGCCUUUGCUUUUAUUGCCCUGCAAAAACAAGAAGGGGGAUAUGCUGGGGAAUAGGCCCCCAAAUCUGGACAUAAACUGGCCCCAAAACUGGCCAUAAACAAAAUCUCUGCAGCGCUGUGACAUGUUCAUGGUGGCCAUAACGCCCAUGCUGGAAGGCUGUGGUUUACCGGAAUGAGAGCGAGGAACACCUGGCCUAUCCAGGGCGGAAAACCACUUAUAGGUAUUCCUAAACCACAAACAACCUAUGCCUUAAGGACAUGUUCCUGCUGCAGAUAACUAGCCAGAGCCCAUCCCUUUGUUUCGGCCCAUCCUUUUGUUUCCUGUAAGGAGUGCUUUUAGUUAAUCUAUAAUCUAUAGAAACAAUACUUAUCACUGGCUUGCUGUCAAUAAAUAUGUGGGUAAAUCUCUGCUCAUGGCUCUCAGCUCUGAAGGCUGUGAGUCCCCU
ensembl:lncRNA novel transcript